GGAAGCUGUUGCCAUUCUUCAGGGAAUUUCUUAAGAAAGAAAGAAAUACAUUGCAUGAAGCCAUUGGAGGAAGGAUCGAGCCCGUUUGUUCUGACUGUUCUGACUGCUUGCCCAAGAUUGCUGGUUACUCUGUAUGUACAGCUACUAUAAAUGAUGAGGGAAAAGACUCCAGCUUCUAACAGAUAUAGAUCCCUUAUGCACCGCUUUAGAUUUUUAUAGCCUUUUAUAGCCCUAAUGCUGCAUCAGCCAGCCCUGCCUGGGCUCCAGCCAGAUGUCAAGUAGGUUCCAUGUAUCAACAGCCUCUCCCGGGCACUACUUUAUGACUCUUCUCUCAGACCACGGAACUUCCUAGUUGACAGAAACAAGAAUGUGACUGGAACCCAGCAUGUGUAACCUGAAAGUACAGGGAAGUGGAUGUGGUGUUGCUAAAAAGUUUGAUUGGUGGGAUGGGAGCCAGUGUAUAAAUGUUUUCCCUUUCUCCCUCAAGUGCUUGGACCUGUGUUAUCUCAGAAAAUCCUGUGGCCAACUCAGUAACACAUCCCUGCUUUACUCUCUUCUCUCUUAUUCCUGACCCCUUGAACUGCUCCAGGACUCCAGUAAAAUAUUCUUAACAUGAGUCUUUGUCUCAAGUUUAUUUUCUGAGAAAGGAAGAAGGCUAAGAAAUUAUUUUCAGUUUAGUACCAAGGAAAUGAGUGAAAGUUAAAUAAAUUGUAUGUCGCGAUUGUAUUACCAUUGAUUUUCAGGUUUAAAGUAGUUUAGAAAGCCCUUGAAUACAAAAAACAAACAAAUAAAAAACCCAGAGAUGCCUAAUAGUGCGAAGUCUGCUCUGGGCAACACAGCAGUAUAUUUGCUUGGCAAAAGAAAACAUAUAAUCUACAGGACAAUAUAUUAGAGCAGCAAGUGAGAGGAGAACUAUGUAACCUAUAAGUAAAGAUUAAAAUAAUGGGAACAUAGAUGUAAAUACAGUGUAUGUAAGGCAAAAAAGUAAAAUUGACAACAUAAAAGAAAAGUAAUAGUGAGAAAUAUAAGGAUAUGAAAGUUUCACUUUAUAGGAAGCAAUAUAUGUUUCUGAAGAGGAGCAUAAAAGAGUUCCAACUCAGUGGUGUAGUUGAGGAGAAUCUUCUCUGGAAGAAAGAAAACUUAAAUGCAUGAAGGAUCAGUUGUUAGGAGAAAAAGUGUCAAUCUACAUAGUAUGAAUAAAAAAACUUAUAAUGUAUUAUUUGCACAACUAACACUAAUGCCUAAAUGUGUACAAAAUAAUAAAGGUGAUAUGGGUAAUAUACAGUGGCAGAAAAUAUUUUAAAAAUUAAAAUUUUUGAAAUAGAUCAGUUGUUACAGCCUAUGCUUUCAAUACAACAAAAAUAAAAUUUUAGAAGUGUCAGAAAAAGAUAAACUCUACAGGCUUUGGAGAGAGACAUAUCCUAAUUUAAAUUCCAGUUUCACCAAUUACCCGCCGUGUUCAUGUGUAACGUGAAUAAGCAUUAAGAUUUCUGUGCUUCAGUUUCAUUCAACUGCGAAAGAUUGGUAUGAAAAAAUGAUAAAAUAAGCAUGUAAAGAGCUUACUAUACACCAAGUUGCCCAUGGUAAUAACCCCAAAAAAGGUUGUUUUAAUAACAUGUCUUCUGUUGCUAAGAGGCUUCAAUGAGGUAGAAAAAAGAGCCAGUCUCUAACUUGACUUGGUUUCAAAUGCCGAUUCUGACUUUUAUUAGCCAUAAUGACUACAUUAACUUCUGUGGAAAACAUGCAAUAACAUUGGACUCAGAUCUAACUGUGUGGCCAUGAACAAAUAUGAUUUUCUGACCUUCAACUUGAGAUAAAGAUUAAAUGUGAUAAUUUGUAUGAAUGUAUGUUCACGCAUUAUUUUUGUGUAAUAACCAGUUUAUUUCUUUCACACAUUAAAGUUUCAUAGGUUUAUUUUUCAUUUUAAUAGAGACUUUAAAAAGGAUUUCUGGAGUGGGAGUAAAAAUCAGAAUAAUGAGCCUGACUGAUUCUACUAAUGUUGCUUUAGAUGUCAAAACUUGGAUUUUCUAUUUCUUUUUAUCAAUGAGGAAAAGAUGUGAAAAGUCUCUACUGAAAAUCACAGAGAUGGAAGAAAACUCACUUAUUUUAAACUAAUUAAUUGUGAUUAACAAAUAUAAAUAAAAGCUAAGGAUUGUCACCUGGUUUUCAGUGUGUGAAAUAGGAGUGCACUGUGAAAACUUUGAAAUUUAUCGUUUGGGAACAUAUUUUUGAAGGAAACAUUAUAUGUACAAGCAAAAUUUUGCAAAAUUGUAUCUUAUGCUUAACAAUCUUACUAUAUAAAUAAGUAAUUGAAACAAGGUGGGCGGAUCACAAGGUCAGGAGUUCAAGACCAGCCUGGACAACAUAGUGAAACCCCAUCUCUACUAAAAAUACAAAAAAAUUGGCCAGGCGUGGUGGCGCAUGCCUGUAAUCCCAGCUACUUGGGAGGCUGAGGCAGGAGAAUCACUUGAACCUGGAAGGCAGAGGUUGUGGUGAGCCAAGAUCUCGCCAUUGCACUCCAGCCUGUGAGACAGUGUGAGACUCCGUCUCAAAAAAAAAAAAAAUUACUUUAUUCAAUUUCAUUUGUAUGAACUAUUAAAGAUUUUUGUCAGAUUCUUUAAUUUUAUGUUAUUUAUUCAUAUUUUGAAAGUAGAAGACUUACUGUGUUGCUCACAGAGGCUGUUUAGAUUUUUAAUUUCACCCAGGCCACAAAUCAAACUACUGACCUCUUAAUUCUCAGCAAAAAAUAAAUAAAUUUUUAUUUUUGAAAAGCUGGCAGUAUUUAAAUAUGUUUUCUAUCAAUUUUACAAUUUUUCACCUCAAUAUAUCUAAAUCAAUGUAUUCUCUGUUGCUUGUAUUUUUUAAAAGAAAUAAUUUUAUUCUCAUUUUUCUGACCAGAAAAGGAAGGAAACAAAAUCAUCAAAGGUUGCAUUAUUUUAUCACCCUGAGUAAAUGGGACUUCAUGCCAUUACAGGAUUCUGGAAGAAACAGAGCUAGCUCAUGCUGUGGGAGGGAGGGCUAGGGUCCUUACCCAUUAACCCCAGCCUGUCAUUGGUAGAGCACUGUUCCCGGGUGGCAUUAAUUCCCUAGCAGUCCCAGCCUCCUGGGAACAUGGGAAAAGUGGUCCCCAGUGGCCCCUGAACACUUUUAGGCAAACAGAUGCAGAGCUGAGAGUUGAAUAUCAGGCUAGCAUGCAUAAAAAAUGGCUAAAGUUAAGAAGAAAGAAGCAGGAAACUGACACAUGAUAUAUAAUAUCACAUAUAUAUUAAUAUAUGUGCGUACAUGUGUAUAUGUGUAUAUAUACAUAUGCACAUACAUAUAUAUAUUUCUCAUUAAAAAAAGUUAAAAAUACAAAGAAGGAAAAUAAAAAUCAACACCAUUUUACUGACUUCAGUUUGGUAAAAUGAAUUUUAAGGCAUUUAAGGUUUUAAAAAAGUUGUAAAUAUUGUGAAAAAAAUGUUAUAUAACUAAUUUUAAGCAUUGCUUUCCAACCUGCUUUUGUUGCUAGGUGUGUGUAGUGUUUUAUAAUUUUUAUUUAGGUCAAGUUGGUCAAUAGUGUUGCUCAGGUCUUCUAUAUACUUACCUGUUUUUUUCUGUUCAUUCUAUUAAUUAAUAAAAUAAAUUUAAAAUUUUUUACA
rnacentral:lncRNA from 1 species